AUGUCUUCCUCCUCUGGCGCUUCCUUCUAGCCUAGUCUCAAUGGCCAGGUCACCGAGAAGCUAUCCCGCACGAACUACGUGCUAUGGCGCACGCAGAUCAUACCCCAACUGCGUGGCGCCGGGGUCUUCGGCUACGUCGACGGCACCCAGCCGGAGCCGGCAAAGCUCCUCGUCACCACCGACAAAGAAGGCAAGGAGACUUCAACGCACAACCCUCUCCACCCAAUCUGGGUCCGGGAGGACCAGCAGGUCCUUGGCUAUCUGCUGAGCAACCUCACGAAGGAGGUGCUCCUCACGGUGACCACGGUCACCAACGCGGGCGCGCUCUGGACGACACUCGCCGGCAUGUACUCGUCGCAAUCGGUGAGUCGCAUCAACAACAUCCGUACCUCUCUCAUCAAUGCGCAGAAGGGCAACCUCUCCGUCGCCUCCUACUUCGCCACCAUGCGCGGCUACGCCGACGAGUUGGUCGCGGCGGGCAAGGAAUCCUCGACGAUGAGCUCAUCUCAUACAUCAUCCACGGGCUCGACGCCGACUACUAGCCGCUGA
rnacentral:rRNA from 1 species